GAGAGAAAGGAAAGCAGAAAAAGAGGUGGAACAAAAGAAGAAGGAGAAGAGCUAUGAGAGAUUUUUUUCCGAACCCACAACAAUACAAAAUGGGAAUGAUGGUGCUCCUUUGACCUUCUUCUUCACUCUUCGCUAUCUCAAAAUAAGAAUGGAUAAGGACACAGCUUCUAUUGAGAUUGGGGGCAAAAUCCUUCACUUUAUAUGGAGCAAACCCUUUUUAAUUUAGAAAGCAAUGUUUACCCAAACGAAAUCAUAUGAAAG
rnacentral:misc_RNA from 1 species